CAGCAGCCGCGGUAAUACGUAGGGUGCAAGCGUUGUCCGGAAUUAUUGGGCGUAAAGAGCUCGUAGGCGGUUUGUCACGUCUGCUGUGAAAUCCCGAGGCUCAACCUCGGGCUUGCAGUGGGUACGGGCAGACUAGAGUGCGGUAGGGGAGAUUGGAAUUCCUGGUGUAGCGGUGGAAUGCGCAGAUAUUAGGAGGAACACCGAUGGCGAAGGCAGAUCUCUGGGCCGUAACUGACGCUGAGGAGCGAAAGCGUGGGGAGCGAACAGGAUUAGAUACCCGAGUAGUCCCUGUCUCUUAUAC
rnacentral:rRNA from 1 species